rnacentral:rRNA from 1 species
UGGGGAAUAUUGCACAAUGGGGGAAACCCUGAUGCAGCGACGCCGCGUGAGCGAAGAAGGUUUUCGAAUCGUAAAGCUCUGUCCUAUGAGAAGAUAAUGACGGUAUCAUAGGAGGAAGCCCCGGCUAAAUACGUGCCAGCAGCCGCGGUAAUACGUAUGGGGCGAGCGUUGUCCGGAAUUAUUGGGCGUAAAGGGUACGUAGGCGGUCUAUUAAGUCAGGUGUGAAAGCGUGAGGCUUAACCUCAUUAAGCACUUGAAACUGAUAGACUUGAGUGAAGGGGAGGAAAGUGGAAUUCCUAGUGUAGCAGUGAAAUGCGUAGAUAUUAGGAGGAAUAUCGGUGGCGAAGGAGACUUUCUGGACUUUUACUGAAGCUCAGGUACGAAAACGUGGGGAGCAGACAGG